CCGGGUUUUGAAAGGAAAAAACGUUGAGGUUAAACGAAACCUUUAGGUUGGGUCCUCUUCCAUCUCAUCUGUGUCCCUGUAAGGAGAGAAGAGGCGCAUGAAUGUGUGCAGAGAGUCUUCCUUGCAGAGUGCCUUGUUAAAUAGGGGUGCUGGAGGAGGAGUCAAGACUGGGACCGGCAGCAUGCUUCCUUUCAUUAUGAGUGUGGCUCCCAGCACCCAGCACAGCCAAUUUGGAGGCUCGAAGCUCUGAUGGCGCUCAGAGCUAUUGAUUUCCUGCAUGUGUGCUUCCACAGACUUCCUCAAUACAGAGAAGUGCUCAGAUUCUCCCAGCACCGUUUGGAUCAUUCUGCCUCUUGGCAGAGAGAGCGAGGGAACUUUGCCCAUUGUGGCAAACACAGAAAGAGCGUUCUUCCCAGGGAGAGACAUUCAUCACAGCCUUCCCAGCCCCUUCAGCACAAGAGUCACAUCUAUUGUCAGUGGGAAGAGAGAGCGCCAACAGUGCCCUGGCCAGCCUGUCUGAAAGUCUUAGCAGGUUCCAGCCCACAGCUCCUGUGUGUCACCAGGGACUACCUCUGCCUUGGACUCUUCCAGACAUAGAAGAAGGGCAAGUAGCUUUCUCCUCCUCCCCUUCCUCCUCCUUUCCCUCCUCCUUUUCCUCUUCCUCCUCCUCCUCUUCUUCCUUUCUUCUUUUUGCACAGGCUGAUUGAACUCGACUAUGCAGAAGUGGCCAAUUGAAACGCCACCCUGGUGGAAAGAACAUGGUGUUUUGGGACACCUGAAGUUCCUGAGUGGAUGAUAACUGGCACUCAAGGCCCACAGUCACCAGAACGCACACAAAGAGUCGGUUGCAGUCCAGGUUGUCCUGAAACAUCUCAGAAACUGGCUGAUUAAUCCUAGCCUGCCCUAGGAAAUGUUAGUCGUCGGGCAAAAAGAAAUCACCCCACCCGAGGCAAAAGAGCAAAUGACUUUAUCUGUAGGUGAUUAUGUCUGACAAGAUGAAAAAGAAGGAUCCUUUGUCACCGGAGAAAGCUGGGCUUCAAGGGCUCUUUGCCCACUUCGUAAGGCUGCGCUUCACACAGUGUGGACUAAGGAAACAGUCGCAGCCUGCUCUCUGCCCUCACAGAUCAAGGGCAGAGAAACAAAACUUCAUUUUCCCCAUGUUUACAGAGGGGAAGCUCUGCAAAUCCGAGAGAGAGAGCGGAGUUCCAGCAUUGUCACGCACGUGGUCUGCUGCUUUGUGGGUGGCGUAGCAAGGCAGAUGGGAGCCUCUGCUAAUGAAAAAGGAGCGUCGGCUUUCAUUCUAGAGGGUGAAAAGAUUAGGGGCGUCGUAAUUACCCUUCUGAUUCCAUGUUGCUCUCAUACCCACGCUCACGGUGUGCAGAGAACUUGAAAGAACACGGCGCUGCCACAAAAACAAACUGUUUUGACUUCCUCUGAGAAUCUGAUUUUUUUUUUUUUUGGCUGAUGUUUUUCUCCUUUUGCUGUUAAAAAAUUUAACCCCUUCUAAACUCCUUUAAUGUAUUAAGUAGUCUUCUCUUACAAAUCUUCAUGACUAAUUCCCUUGCCUCCUUCGAUUCUGUGCUCAAAUGUAAAUUUAUUUUUAAAAUACAAAUUAUUAAAAAGUGUAUGUAUUUA